CAGUGGGCCAAGGAGAGGAAUCUACAUGUCUUGAGUGCUGUAGGAUGGGAAGGGGACAGAGCAGUGUGAGAGAGGACAAGGAUGAAUUGUGGUUUCCAGAUGUAUUUUUGAAAAAGAUGGAUAAGAGAGACCUGUGUUUGAUCGACCCUCUUGUUCCUGGGAGCAGUUGAUUAAGUCGGAAGUUGAGGAAGAUACGGAUCAUAGAAAAAGCGAUGUGAGCAGUUACUUUUCCUGUCCUUGUGUUAUGUGUAUCUGUGCUUGUGUGUCUAAUCUCCGAUGUUAAGCAUGCUUAACCUAGGAUUUAAUCUUGUAGAAUUUCAAAAUUAAGCAUUCAGCAAUACAUAUGAAUAGAUGAUCCUUCAAAUAAGAUUUCUUAUUUACAAAUUUUAAUUUCCUCUCUUUGGCAUUGCAGCUGAACAGUUCUACCCCAAGUGCAUAUCUAACCUUGUUACCUCCUUGAUUAUGGUCCUGAUGUGUCUGAUCUCCAAACUCCUAACCAGUAGGCUAUGUGGACCUUGUGCACUGCCUUCUCUCUGUCUCCCCAGCCUCAUUUCCCGCCCCUCUCCACUUUGCCCUUGACAUUUUAUACUCUGGCAAUCCCUUAACACUCUGUGCUACUCUGCAUUUCACAAGACUCCUUUUCUCUGGAAUACCCUUCGUGUUUUUCUCUUCUUGGAUGACUCUUACUGGAUAAACCAUCAUUUUAACUGAGGGCCCCUUCUCUAGAUUCUGUGACUUCUGGCUUACUACUGAAUAUGUUAGAAUUUUUGUUCAGAUGUAACUUGACUUUUUAGGCUGUAAAUAUCUUAUGGGAGGAGGCUACAUCUUUUUCAUUUGUUGAAUGUAGUGCUAAACACAUAAUAUGUGCUUACUAAGUGUUUGUCAGCCACUUCUUAAUAUUAGGCAUUCAACUCAACUAAUAUUUCAGGUACUUCCUACUUAGUAAGAUUGAACUGAAAAGAUGAAAGUUUCAUAAUGGUAAGUGGUUAACAGCAGUUAUGUCAGGAAGUGAGUAACAGAUUAUUCUUUUCUCUCAGUGGUAAGGGCAUAGCAUUUUAAAUGAGUUUAGAUAAAUCCACCACCCAUCUAAAGUAUAUAUAUGCACAUACAGAAUGUGCAGAAGGGUUCACAGAUAAUACUUUGAAUUAAGUGCUCUGAGAAUUGGGAAAAGUCCUUAGAUGUCUUCUAGGCCAGUCAUCUGUGGUACAAGAGUCCUUUUAUAAUGUUUUUGGCAAAUAGUCAUGUAAUUUCUAUCUAAUUACCAGGUAGUAGUCGCUUUUUGUCUCAUUUAGCAGCUCAUUCCAUUUUUGGGGCAAUUUUAAUUUUCAUAAAGCUCUGUCUAGUCUACUUUCCUAUAACUUCUAACUACCGGUCCUCUUGAAGGAGAGGAAGAUGUGAUAAAUCUAGUCUCUCUUCUUCCUUUGUAGGUAUUGGUGAAUCAUCAAGUGUCCAACAGAACUUCUCUCCAGAUAAAAUUUCCCUAAGUCUGGCAAUUGUUCUCCAUAUUUUGUGGGUUCUGUUCCCCUCAUCACACCAGUCACUUUACUCUGCUGUGCUUCAGUUUUUCUGGAAGUGUGCAUGUUAGUCCAGGUUCCUUUAUCAGAACAAAUUUGAGCAGGACUCUGGCAGACAUUAAGCUGAACACUGUAUUUUGAUUCUUGAAGCCUGAGAUUGCAUUAACUUUUGGGUAAUCAUGUCACUUAGCUGACAUAUAUGGAACUUUCAAACAGCAAAAUCCUUUAUAAUUGUCCCUCUCAUCUUAUUGCUAAGCCUUUCUGAGAUCUGGUCUUCUGAUUGAUGCUACCCAAGAAACUUUCAAAUCCACAAGUGUGACCAACUAUUGGUAAUAUGCGUAGACCCAAACCAAGGUGAGACAGUGCCUAUGCCUGAAGGUUUAGAAAGUACUUUGUAAUAGUUUUCAUUUUAUUUACUUAUUUUUCUUUAGACAUGGAGACAGUGAGAUUGUUAAGUCAUCAAACCAUUUGAAAACUAAGAUUUCCAGAAUUUACCUAUUCAAAUCAGUGAUGCUUUUUAAACCAGUGACCUUGCAAGAUUAUAUACUUAGUCCAGUGAUGUCUCAUUUUUUGAGUUAUUAGGACAAUAAAAAUAUUUUUUGAUUGCCUACUCUGAGCUUAGUGUUUAAAUAUGUUUAAAAGUUCUUUAUUUGAAUUGUUUUUAAAGCCAGUGAACAAACCACACAGGAAAAUAAUUCUAUUUUCAAUGGAGUUUUUUUUUUUUUUUUUUUUUUUUUAAAUCCUGAAGUUCUAGUUCAGUGGACUUGACUCCAUAUAAUUUUUAGUCAUCUCUAGAAAUCAAAUAUGCCCCUCUAAAUGGCAUUUUCUUCCCUUUAGAAGAUUAACAAAUAUCCCCA
rnacentral:lncRNA from 9 species